rnacentral:rRNA from 1 species
AGUGAACGCUGGCGGUAGGCCUAACACAUGCAAGUCGAACGGCAGCACAGUAAGAGCUUGCUCUUACGGGUGGCGAGUGGCGGACGGGUGAGGAAUACAUCGGAAUCUACUUUUUCGUGGGGGAUAACGUAGGGAAACUUACGCUAAUACCGCAUACGACCUACGGGUGAAAGCAGGGGAUCUUCGGACCUUGCGCGAUUGAAUGAGCCGAUGUCGGAUUAGCUAGUUGGCGGGGUAAAGGCCCACCAAGGCGACGAUCCGUAGCUGGUCUGAGAGGAUGAUCAGCCACACUGGAACUGAGACACGGUCCAGACUCCUACGGGAGGCAGCAGUGGGGAAUAUUGGACAACGGGCGCAAGCCUGAUCCAGCCAUACCGCGUGGGUGAAGAAGGCCUUCGGGUUGUAAGCCCUUUUGUUGGGAAAGAAAAGCAGCAGGUUAAUACCCCGCUGUUCUGACGGUACCCAAAGAAUAAGCACCGGCUAACUUCGUG